ensembl:lncRNA
GUGGCGGAGAGGAGAGGAGAGGAGGUUUGAGGAGUGGCGGAGAAGAGAGAAGGGUUGAGGGGUGGCGGAGAGGAGAGUUCGGUUUGAGGAGUGGCGGAGAGGAGAGGAGAGGAGGUUUGAGGAGUGGCGGAGAGGAGAGGAGGGUUUAGGAGGGGCGGAGAGGAGAGGAGGGUUGAGGGGUGGCGGAGAGGAGAGGAGGGUUGAGGGGUGGCGGAGAGGAGAGGAGGGUUGAGGAGUGGCGGAGAGAGGAGGGUUGAGGGGGGGCGGAGAGGAGAGGAGGGUUGAGGGGUGGCGGAGAGGAGAGGAGGGUUGAGGGGUGGCGGAGAGGAGAGGAGGGUUGAGGAGUGGCGGAGAGGAGAGGAGAGGAGGUUUGAGGAGUGGCGGAGAGGAGAGGAGAGAAGGGUUGAGGGGUGGCGGAGAGGAGAGGAGGGUUGAGGGGUGGCGGAGAGGAGAGGAGGGUUGAGGAGUGGCGGAGAGGAGGGUUGAGGAGUGGCGGAGAGGAGAGGAGGGUUGAGGGGUGGCGGAGAGGAGAGGAGGGUUGAGGGGUGGCGGAUAGGAGAGGAGGGUUGAGGAGUGGCGGAGAGGAGAGGAGAGGAGGUUUGAGGAGUGGCGGAGAGGAGAGGAGAGAAGGGUUGAGGGGUGGCGGAGAGGAGAGGAGGGUUGAGGGGUGGCGGAGAGGAGAGAAGGGUCAAGGGGUGGCGGAGAGGAGAGAAGGGUUGAGGGGUGGCGGAGAGGAGAGGAG